AGAACGAACGCUGGCGGCAUGCCUAACACAUGCAAGUCGAACGAGACCUUCGGGUCUAGUGGCGCACGGGUGCGUAACGCGUGGGAAUCUGCCCUUGGGUUCGGGAUAACAGUUGGAAACGACUGCUAAUACCGGAUGAUGACUUCGGUCCAAAGAUUUAUCGCCCAGGGAUGAGCCCGCGUAGGAUUAGCUAGUUGGUGAGGUAAAGGCUCACCAAGGCGACGAUCCUUAGCUGGUCUGAGAGGAUGAUCAGCCACACUGGGACUGAGACACGGCCCAGACUCCUACGGGAGGCAGCAGCAGGGAAUUUGCGCAAUGGGCGAAAGCCUGACGCAGCAACGCCGCGUGGGGGAUGAAGGCCGUUCGGUUCGUAAACCCGUUUAGGAGGGAACGAAAGUUGACGGUACCUACCAAGAAAAACGCCCGGACCAACACGUGCCAGCAGCCGC
rnacentral:rRNA from 1 species